GGGGCUGUGGCUCAGUGGUAGAGCGCUUGCCUCACAUGUGAAGCACGGAGUUCGAUCCUCAGCACCA
rnacentral:tRNA from 1 species